rnacentral:rRNA from 1 species
ACUGAAUUAAUUAUAAAAAUUGAUAACAUAAGGGAAAAUAAUGAUAUUACCUUAUUAUUAGUGUCGUCCAAAUCUGGUGCCAGAAGACUCGGUAAGGCCAGAGACACGAACGUUAAUCGUCUUAAUCAGGCGUAAAGGGUUUGUAGGCGGCUUUAAAUUUACUUUAUAAAUUUUAAUAAAUAAAAUAAGUAAAAAAUAAAAGCUAGAAUCAAAUAGAGGAUGUACAAAAUAAUGCUUAGAGUAGGUCUGAUAUCCUUAGAUACUAAGUAGAGUAUUAAAGGCGAAAGCUUUUUUCCAUUAAUGAUUGACGCUCAGAAACGAAAGUGAGGAUAGGAAAUAGGAUUAGAUACCCCAAAUACCCCUCUCUGUCAACGAUGAAUGGUAGUUAUUAGUAAUAAAUUUAUUAAUGGCAAUGUUAACACGAUAACCAUUCCGCCUUGUGAGUACAACUGCAAAGUUGAAAACAAAAAAAUUAGUCGGUUUCGGAGCAAACGAAGUGAAGCAUGUUAUUUAAUUCAAAAAAAUCCCGCAAAA